UUUCACUUUUCCCCCAAACAUUGACGUCCCUCUCCUAUCAUAGUUUUUUCAUUCCCUCAAUUUGCCCUGCCCAAUCCCACCGGAAUAUAAAUUUCCUUCUCAUAUCAGAAUUUUGUUGCAAAGAACAUCUUUAGCAUUCUAGAGAAUGGAUUCUCAGUGAUCGCGGCUACCCGGGAGUUCGAGAACCUUAAAGUUAGAAGGUUGCUUGAAAGAUGCAAUAUGUUGCGAGAAUGGAGAAUAUGGAGAUUGAGCUUCUUGAGAAAACACUCUCUGAUGAUUAAUGGAGUCAAAUUAAACAAGAUACAAAGCAAAGAGUGAGUGCAAGACUUAGAAUGCUAGCAAAAUUGUAUUUAGCCAGUGCUCUUCUACUCAAUUGUUACAAUGUUGUGUUGUUUAUAACUGGCAAUGAGUUAGCUAUGGAUUCAUAUCUAGUUGGAGUAAAAUAUAAUAUUCUAAAAUAUACUUUUGUCUUGUCAUUGGUCUUUAUGAGAUCAGUAAAGGAUUAUUUGUUUUCUGGUGUA